rnacentral:lncRNA from 1 species
AUGUGGAAGGCAGUGCUCCUGGUUUUAUACGCAGUAUGGGCUGUAAGAGGAUUGGCAAAGGGUGCUCCUUUCCAACCAGAAGAAAAAUGGAAACCUUUAGAUAACCCUAGAAACCGAGACCUGUUUUUCAGAACGCUCCAGGCUUAUUUUUCGGGCAGGGGUCUUGAUCUCAGAAAGUUCCCAGCUACUUUCACGGUGAACAAUGAAGGACCAAGGCCCGUCAUGUUCUACUCAGAUCCUAUUGCUUCUGCAUUUGCAGAUUAUGAAGAAAGGAAAAAUUCUUUUCCGAAUUAUUUCAAAGGCUGAGAGAUAAUGCUGACCAAGGUAAAAGAGGGUGUCUUUUCCUGUAAUGUAAUCAAGUGAAAGCUCUGGUUGAAGUGAUUCUCAUUUCUGUAUAAAACAUAAAAGCAGCUUGUUCUUGAGAAGAAAUUAAUAACGUGCACCUUAACUCUUGCCUGAAACUGUUUUAAUACCAUUAAAAUAGAGAUUUAURAGGAAUUUACUACUUCUGUGAAAUAACACAUGGUGAUUGUGCAGUAAGUAGUAAUAUGCAGACAGAUCUAUAUAGACUAUGCUUUUUACCUGGAGAUGAAUGCUGAAAAUGUACAGAUAAUAGAGAAUGUAGAAGAUUUUACUUAAGUAAUUAGUAAAAUUACAAAUUGAGACUAUUGGUUUCUCAUGAUAUACAGAUAUUAAGAAAAUUAAUUUAGACUUAAAAUAYUGCACUAACAAAGCAUACUUUAGCUUUUACAUCUUUGCACACGCAUGUUGUUUUCUAUAUUCUUACCACUAAAAUUGAAGGUUGAAUGAAAUGAUUUCAAACUGAUUCACAUUUCUUCAUAAAUAUGAAAUAAAUUCAGAUGGAUCAAGCUUGUAUUAUUCA